rnacentral:rRNA from 1 species
AUUGCCCUAGUAACGGCGAGUGAAGCGGCAACAGCUCAAAUUUGAAAUCUGGCUCUUUCAGAGUCCGAGUUGUAAUUUGCAGAGGGCGCUUUGGCGUUGGCAGCGGUCCAAGUUCUUUGGAACAGGACGUCACAGAGGGUGAGAAUCCCGUACGUGGUCGCUAGCCUUCGCCGUGUAAAGCCCCUUCGACGAGUCGAGUUGUUUGGGAAUGCAGCUCUAAAUGGGAGGUAAAUUUCUUCUAAAGCUAAAUACUGGCCAGAGACCGAUAGCGCACAAGUAGAGUGAUCGAAAGAUGAAAAGCACUUUGGAAAGAGAGUCAAAUAGCACGUGAAAUUGUUGAAAGGGAAGCGCUUGCAGCCAGACUUGCCUGUAGUUGCUUAUCUGGACUUUUGUCCAGUGCACUCUUCUGCGGGCAGGCCAGCAUCAGUUUGGGCGGUUGGAUAAAGGUCUCUGUCAUGUACCUCCUUUCGGGGAGGCCUUAUAGGGGAGACGACAUGCAACCAGCCCGGACUGAGGUCCGCGCAUCUGCUAGGAUGCUGGCGUAAUGGCUGUAAGCGGCCCGUCUUGAAACACGGACCAAGGAGUCUAACAUCUAUGCGAGUGUUUGGGUGUCAAGCCCAGACGCGUAAUGAAAGUGAACGGAGGUGGGAACCCUUUGGGUGCACCAUCGACCGAUCCUGAUGUCUUCGGAUGGAUUUGAGUAAGAGCAUGGCUGUUGGGACCCGAAAGAUGGUGAACUAUGCUUGAAUAGGGUGAAGCCAGAGGAAACUCUGGUGGAGGCUCGCAGCGGUUCUGACGUGCAAAUCGAUCGUCAAAUUUGGGCAUAGGGGCGAAAGACUAAU